rnacentral:rRNA from 1 species
AAGGUGGGGAUGACGUCAAAUCAUCAUGCCCCUUAUGAUUUGGGCUACACACGUGCUACAAUGGACAAUACAAAGGGCAGCGAAACCGCGAGGUCAAGCAAAUCCCAUAAAGUUGUUCUCAGUUCGGAUUGUAGUCUGCAACUCGACUACAUGAAGCUGGAAUCGCUAGUAAUCGUAGAUCAGCAUGCUACGGUGAAUACGUUCCCGGGUCUUGUACACACCGCCCGUCACACCACGAGAGUUUGUAACACCCGAAGCCGGUGGAGUAACCAUUUGGAGCUAGCCGUCGAAGGUGGGACAAAUGAUUGGGGUGAAGUCGUAACAAGGUAGCCGUAUCGGAAGGUGCGGCUGGAUCACCUCCUUUCUAAGGA